rnacentral:rRNA from 1 species
UCUGGUUGAUCCUGCCAGUAGUCAUAUGCUUGUCUCAAAGAUUAAGCCAUGCAUGUCUAAGUAUAAAUAGUAUACAGUGAAACUGCGAAUGGCUCAUUAAAACAGUUAUAGUUUAUUUGAUAAUUGACAAUUACAUGGAUAACCGUGGUAAUUCUAGAGCUAAUACAUGCUUAAACGCCCGACUUUAUGGAAGGGUGGUAUUUAUUAGACUGAAGCCAAUAUUCCUUGUGUCUAUUGCGGUGAUUCAUAAUAACUGAUCGAAUCUCUUUUUGAGAUAAAUCAUUCAAGUUUCUGCCCUAUCAGCUUUCGAUGGUAGUGUAUUGGACUACCAUGGCAGUAACGGGUAACGAAGAAUUAGGGUUCGAUUUCGGAGAGGGAGCAUGAGAAACGGCUACCACAUCUAAGGAAGGCAGCAGGCGCGUAAAUUACCCAAUCCUGACUCAGGGAGGUAGUGACAAGAAAUAGCAAACCGGGAACCUCAUGGUUUCACGGUAUUGCAAUGAGAACAAUUUAAAACCCUUAGCGAGAAUCAAGUGGAGGACAAGUCUGGUGCCAGCACCCGCGGUAAUUCCAGCUCCACUAGCGUAUAUUAAAGUUGUUGCAGUUAAAAAGCUCGUAGUUGAACCUCUGUCUGGGGCUAGUUUUGGCUUUGGUCAGGCUAGUUCCAGGCAUCCGCCUACAAGACUUAGAGGGCAUUCAGUUGUUCACUAGGAGGAGUAGGCAUUUUACUUUGAAAAAAUUAGAGUGUUUAAGGCAGGCAAUCGCCCGCAUAUAUUAGCAUGGAAUAAUAGAAUAGGACACUUUUCCAUUUCGUUGGUUAUUGGAAUCGUGUAAUGAUUAAUAGGGACAGUUGUGGGCAUUUGUAUUUAAUUGUCAGAGGUGAAAUUCUUGGAUUUAUUAAAGACAAACUAACGCGAAAGCAUUUGCCAAGGAUGUUUUCAUUAAUCAAGAACGAAAGUUAGGGGAUCAAAGACGAUCAGAUACCGUCCUAGUCUUAACUAUAAACUAUUCCGACUCAAUGUUUGACUGGCUUAUAUAACCAGUUGAGCGUUGUAUGAGAAAUCAAAGUCUUUAGGUUCUGGGGGGAGUAUGGUUGCAAAGCUGAAACUUAAAGGAAUUGACGGAAGAGCACAACCAGGAGUGGAUUCUGCGGCUUAAUUUGACUCAACACGGGGAAACUUACCAGGUUAAAACAAUAGUGGGAUUGACAGUUUGAGAGCGCUUUCUUGAUUGGUUGGGUGGUGGUGCAUGGCCGUUCUUAGUUGGUGGAGUGAUUUGUCUGCUUAAUUGCGUUAACGAACGAGACCUUAACCUGCUUACUAGACUGGCGAUCAUCAAUCGUUAGCUCUUCUUAGAGGGAC